rnacentral:siRNA from 1 species
GAAAAAGUGACUAUUUUGCCAACA